CCGGACGAAAGGGGAUCCUUGGCUUUCCAAGUCAUGGCAUCUCUUGAAAGGGGCGCGGCACGUGCAGGCUGUUGCGAUUAAAGUUCCAGUGCCAUUGUCCGUUUCAUUGAUUGCAGGCUCGCAGGACAACUCGAGGAAUUCACAUGUUUGAUUAUUCGACACUCUGCAUGAUAUCCAUCCAUUGGACUAUUUUUUUU